UGCGGCGUCUGUUGGACUGAAGGCAAUUUGAAAGACAGUGACUUUGUGCUGGCUACCUGUAAAAGCAGCAGGAGGCAGCGGUGGGGUGAUUUCACCAAGCCAGCUAAUUAGUAGAUGUGUAUGCUAACCAAAAGGCAUUGCUGGAUGUUACUAAAGAGAAUAUUAGAGAAGUGUAACUAGAAAAAUUGCAGUGGCACCUUUGUAGAAGAUAAUUUGGAUUCUUGGUAGCCAAUCUUUUUUCAAAUACAUACAGCUCUCUCUGCCUAAACAGAAAACCCACCCCGAGCCCCAAGACCAGCAGUAAAAACUGCCAUCCUGAAAUGGAGCAAAUUACUUAAAAGGUAAUUACUGUUUAAAAGAAACUCUUCUGUGUUAGCACUUGGUAUUUGAGUUUGCUGGUACUUAAGUUUUUCUUCAUGUAAGAAAAGCAAAGCCUUAAUUUAAUUGAGAAAAGUCUUGUGCAGCAAAUGGGCUUUUAUGGUGGGGUGUUUAUAAUGGAGAAGGAAGCUGCUUCAAGAGGUGCUUAUGAACCAGGUAUGCUGUAAAACCCUUUAUGGCCCUUAAGGAAGUGAGUUUGUGGAAUGCAUGGAUUGUAAAAGUUAUUUGUGAGUUGCAUUUUAAAAGUGGUUUUAGGUUAUCAAUACCAUAAAAAUACAGAAUGUUAGUACUGACAAAAAAUAAAUACAAAACCUAUUGGGAAGCAUUUCUUUGACUCUUGAGGGCCCUUCUGUAGCAAUUACAUGUUCUUCCUCAUUUGAAAAGGGUUUUCUGUACUUCAGACAGAUUUUUCUAGGAAUGAUGUCACAAGCCAAAUUAUUUAUUACUUUGCAGCUACAGUAAAAUACUCAGAAACUAUAUAUACUAAGACUUCAGACAGUAAACACAUAUUUAAUGAAACUGUGGUUCAGUUACACUGGAUCCUUGAAGGAGUUCCCAGUGCAACUUCAUUAAUCUGUUUGUAUCACAGAACAGUUUCCAGUUUAGACAUGCACAUUCACAACAUUCAAGCUCAUUUGGUCCACUGCUAAACUCUUCUUCCGUUUCAUCUUGCAAAUGUGCAUGCUUUUGCUUGCCUCUUCAGCAAGUGUUUACCUAAAAGACAAAGUAAUUACAGUAGCUUUAAAGGCCUUUAUUUGUGAGAUAAAACUAUGUAAGAAAUAUUUUUUAAAAUAAAAUCCUUCUUAAUUUAGCUAAAUGAGACACGCUAAAGGCUUGCAAACUUCUAUUCCUGAGUACGUUACACAGUGCUGGUAUUACCUAAAAACUCUUCUGUCAGCCUUUGCUGGCCUUAUGUCUUGUCAGAAAGAAAAAAAACCCAAACAUCGAAAUGAAAAAAAAAAAAAAAAUCAUGGAAAGCAGCUUAUCCUUCUUCUAGGGAACUGAAGUCCUGGUGCAUGUGCUUUUUGGAAUAUGAACUUUUCCCUACAGGAUUUACAGUCUUACAUGAUCCAGUUCAAUGACAACUGUAAUCUGAAUAUGUGUCACUUUGCUAAGAUAAAUCAGAAAAAAGUAGAACUAGUGUGAACAUGAAAGAAUACCCUCUGCCAUCAUUGUUUCCUGAAUAGGAGGAUGAUGUGUAGCCUCGUCUUCUCAAAUCUGGAUGAAUAAUGCUCUGGAAACUGAAAAAUAAGAACAGGUGUUGGGUGAACUGAU